GUGUGCAUGUAAACUUCAGAGUUUAACAAGGGCUAUUGUUUUCGCCUGCCGCUGAGAGUCGUUCACUCUGAAGACGUUGUGGGCCACUUGGGAUGUAGAGCCCCGGCUUCCUCAUGUUCUAGCACAUUCCAACCCUCAUGGCUUACAGCACUGAGUAAUGCAGGAACACCCCAGACCUUCCUGUCCCUGGCUCUUAGGCUCUCUCUUCUCUUGGCACUGGGGUGUCAAUGUCAACAGCUGGACACGCAGUUGGAAGGCAGACCCACGGCCAUGUGCCCUCGCCCACAACCCUGAGGCCAUGGGCUGUGAGAUUGCACCUGCUUCUGCUGGCAUAGAAGCUCCACGGAGGCACAGCCCGCUGAGCCCGUCCAAACGGCCCAAUCGCACCCCAGAAAGCUGCAGGUGGCCGACGCUGGGGGCUUCCUGGAGCGUCUGGCCCACCCUCGAGACCCCCCCCUGCAGCAGCGAAACCUCAAGGUCCUUUGGUCCCAAGGAAGGACGAAGCUUUGAACGUGGUCGUGUCUAACAACAAGUAAAUAAAUAAUAAGGAUAAUUUAAAACUAAGCAAAGAUGCGGAUGUAAAGGCCACUCCCGGUCCCAGGAGCAAGACCGAUGUGUCACUUAUCUGAUCUCUCAACUGGUCAGGAAAAAAUCUGUAUCAGCCAUCGCUGGAGCCCAGAUGGGGUCAUCUGGCCGCAGCAGGAGGCAGCAGGGAGCCUCGGCAGGCGUGGAGCCGAGACGAGAUGCUUUCCUGGAAGAAGUUGUUCCAGCGGCUCCAUCUCCACGUCCCAUGAGUAUCUUUCAAGUCUUCCCUCUUCCUGGCCUCCAUCUCUAGGAGCUUUGGGAAAAAAACAACACACUUCCAUUUUUAAGAAUUUGGCUUUUCACUUUAUAUCAAAGCACAUACCAGGUAACAAAAAACAGAAAAGAGAUAAAGUUGAAAAGCAGCUUACUUACCCCCUCUCUCC